rnacentral:rRNA from 1 species
CGGGUGGGGAAUAACCCAGGGAAACUUGGGCUAAUACCGCAUAAUGCAGCGGCACCUAAUGGUGAUUAGUUGUUAAAGCGGGGGAUCGCAAGACCUCGCGCCUGAAGAGGAGCCUGCGGCAGAUUAGCUAGUUGGUGAGGUAAUGGCUCACCAAGGCUUCGAUCUGUAGCUGGUCUGAGAGGACGGCCAGCCACACUGGCACUGACACACGGGCCAG